GAUGAACGCUGGCGGCGUGCUUAACACAUGCAAGUCGAACGAUGAAGCCCAGCUUGCUGGGUGGAUUAGUGGCGAACGGGUGAGUAACACGUGAGUAACCUGCCCUUAACUCUGGGAUAAGCCUGGGAAACUGGGUCUAAUACCGGAUAGGAGCGUCCACCGCAUGGUGGGUGUUGGAAAGAUUUAUCGGUUUUGGAUGGACUCGCGGCCUAUCGGCUUGUUGGUGAGGUAAUGGCUCACCAAGGCGACGACGGGUAGCCGGCCUGAGAGGGUGACCGGCCACACUGGGACUGAGACACGGCCCAGACUCCUGCGGGAGGCAGCAGUGGGGAAUAUUGCACAAUGGGCGAAAGCCUGAUGCAGCGACGCCGCGUGAGGGAUGACGGCCUUCGGGUUGUAAACCUCUUUCAGUAGGGAAGAAGCGAAAGUGACGGUACCUGCAGAAGAAGCACCGGCUAACUACGUG
rnacentral:rRNA from 1 species